GUGUCAGCAGCCGCGGUAAGACGUAGGGGGCCAGCGUUGCUCGGAAUAACUGGGCGUAAAGGGUUCGUAGGCGGUGUGGCAAGUCGGGAGUGAAAUCCUGAGGCUUAACUUCAGGACUGCUUCCGAAACUGCCAUGCUGGAGUGCGGGAGAGGCGAGUGGAAUUGCAGGUGUAGCGGUGAAAUGCGUAGAUAUCUGCAGGAACACCAGUGGCGAAAGCGGCUCGCUGGACCGCAACUGACGCUGAGGAACGAAAGCUAGGGGAGCAAACAGGAUUAGAAACCCCGGUAGUCC
rnacentral:rRNA from 1 species